CCUACGUGAGGCUGCAGUGGGGAAUGUUGCACAAUGGGGGAAACCCUGAUGCAGCGACGCCGCGUGAGUGAAGAAGUAAUUCGUUAUGUAAAGCUCUAUCAGCAGGGAAGAAAAUGACGGUACCUGAGUAAGAAGCCCCGGCUAACUACGUGCCAGCAGCCGCGGUAAUACGUAGGGGGCAAGCGUUAUCCGGAUUUACUGGGUGUAAAGGGAGCGUAGACGGCAGUGCAAGUCUGGAGUGAAAGGCGGGGGCUCAACCCCCGGACUGCUCUGGAAACUGUACGGCUGGAGUGCAGGAGAGGUAAGUGGAAUUCCUAGUGUAGCGGUGAAAUGCGUAGAUAUUAGGAGGAACACCAGUGGCGAAGGCGGCUUACUGGACUGUAACUGACGUUGAGGCUCGGAAGCGUGGGGAGCAAACAGGAUUAGAUACCCCAGUAGUC
rnacentral:rRNA from 1 species